UGACAUGUAACGAGGUGUACUGACAUGUCACAAGUGUAAUGACAUGUAACGAGGUGUUAUGACAUGUAACGAGGUGUACAGACAUGUAAAGAGGUGUAAUGACAUGUAACGAGGUGUACUGACAUGUAACGUGGUGUACUGACAUGUGACAAGUGUAAUGACAUGUAACAAGGUGUUAUGACAUGUAACGAGGUGUACAGACAUGUAAAGAGGUGUACUGACAUGUAACGAGGGGUACUGACGUGUGACAAGGGUAAUGACAUGUAACGAGGUGUUAUGACAUGUAACGAGGUGUACAGACAUGUAAAGAGGUGUAAUGACAUGUAACGAGGUGUACUGACAUGUGACAAGUGUAUUGACAUGUAACGAGGUGUUAUGACAUGUAACGAGGUGUACUGACAUGUAACGAGGUGUACUGACAUGUAACGAGGUGUAAUGACAUGUAACGAGAUGUAAUGACAUGUAACGAGGUGUUAUGACAUGUAAAAAGGGAUGAUGACAUGUAACGAGAUGUAAGAACAAGUAACGAGGUGUAAUGACAUGUAAAAAGGGAUGAUGACAUGUGACUUAUUACAAGGUGCAAUGACAUGUGAAAAAGUGUGUUAGAUGACAUAUUACAUAUUAAGUUAUUAUGACAUGUGACAAUGUAUGACCAUGUGUGACAGCAUGUGUUGACAUGGUGUGAUGUCAUUUGACAGGGUAAGAAGACGUGUGAUAAGGAGUGGUGAUAUGUUACAAGAUGUGAUACUUUCUGACAAAGUGUGAUGAUAUGUGACAAGAUGUGAUGACAUGUGACAAUGUGUGAUAAUAUGUGACAAAGUGUGAUUACAUGUGACAAGGUGUGAUUACAUGUGACAAUGUAUAACCAUGUGUGACAAGGUGUGGAUAUAUGUGACAAAGUAUGACCACAUGUUUCCAGGUUUGGUGAUAGGUGGCAAGGCGUGAUGACAUUUGACGAGUUGUGAUGACAUGUGACAAGGUGUGAUGACAUGUGACAAUGUGUAGAAAUAUUUGACAAGCUGCGAUGAGAUGUGAUAAGGUAUAAUGACAUGUGACAAUGUAUGACCACGUUUGACAAGUUUUGGUGACAGGUGACAAUGAUUGAUGACAUGAGUAAAGGUGACAUCCCAAGACACUUGAUAUGUCAUUGCUUUUACGUAUUAACAGAUGAACCGAGUCAACAAUAGUUAUACAGGGUUUCAUAAAACUGUCCACAAAAUAAACACUCAUACAUUAUCACUAAAAAACAUAUUUACAGUUAGAUGAAUUUGAUAAUUCAGAAUAAUUGCACAUUUCAUCUUAACCAGAGUAUCGUUAACACUACACCAUCUACACGAAGCAUUGUGAAUCACUUAAUGCAUUCUAUAAUGCUAUUUUAUUAAUUAGAGAAAUGUACAGUGUUAUUGAAUUUCCAUUGCAACUUCUCACAUGGCACAAUCAGUUAUUCCAUCUUACUAGUGUAAGGGGGACAACUCGU